rnacentral:piRNA from 1 species
UGACAUGUAGCAGUUGUUUGAUGUGAGAA